GUUUGAUCCUGGCUCAGAUUGAACGCUGGCGGAAUGCUUUACACAUGCAAGUCGAACGGCAGCACGGACUUCGGUCUGGUGGCGAGUGGCGAACGGGUGAGUAAUACAUCGGAACGCGUCCUGUAAUGGGGGAUAACCUGGCGAAAGCCAGGCUAAUACCGCAUACGUCCUGAGGGAGAAAGCGGGGGAUCGCAAGACCUCGCGUUAUAGGAGCGGCCGAUGUCGGAUUAGCUAGUUGGUGGGGUAAAGGCCUACCAAGGCGACGAUCUGUAGCGGGUCUGAGAGGACGGCCCGCCACACUGGGACUGAGACACGGCCCAGACUCCUACGGGAGGCAGCAGUGGGGAAUUUUGGACAAUGGGGGCAACCCUGAUCCAGCCAUUCCGCGUGAGUGAAGAAGGCCUUCGGGUUGUAAAGCUCUUUCGGCCGGGAAGAAAUCGUGCGGGCCAAUACCCUGUAUGGAUGACGGUACCGGAAGAAGAAGCACCGGCUAACUACGUGCCAGCAGCCGCGGUAAUACGUAGGGUGCGAGCGUUAAUCGGAAUUACUGGGCGUAAAGGGUGCGCAGGCGGUUUUGUAAGACAGGUGUGAAAUCCCCGGGCUUAACCUGGGAACUGCGCUUGUGACUGCAAGACUUGAGUGCGGCAGAGGGGGGUGGAAUUCCACGUGUAGCAGUGAAAUGCGUAGAGAUGUGGAGGAACACCGAUGGCGAAGGCAGCCCCCUGGGUCGACACUGACGCUCAUGCACGAAAGCGUGGGGAGCAAACAGGAUUAGAUACCCUGCAGUCCA
rnacentral:rRNA from 1 species